rnacentral:rRNA from 1 species
AAACCAACUGGGAUUACCUUAGUAACGGCGAGUGAAGCGGUAAAAGCUCAAAUUUGAAAUCUGGUACUUUCAGUGCCCGAGUUGUAAUUUGUAGAAUUUGUCUUUGAUUAGGUCCUUGUCUAUGUUCCUUGGAACAGGACGUCAUAGAGGGUGAGAAUCCCGUUUGGCGAGGAUACCUUUUUUCUGUAAGACUUUUUCGAAGAGUCGAGUUGUUUGGGAAUGCAGCUCAAAGUGGGUGGUAAAUUCCAUCUAAAGCUAAAUAUUGGCGAGAGACCGAUAGCGAACAAGUACAGUGAUGGAAAGAUGAAAAGAACUUUGAAAAGAGAGUGAAAAAGUACGUGAAAUUGUUGAAAGGGAAGGGCAUUUGAUCAGACAUGGUGUUUUUGCAUGCACUCGCCUCUCGUGGGCUUGGGCCUCUCAAAAAUUUCACUGGGCCAACAUCAAUUCUGGCAGUAGGAUAAAUCAUUAAGAAUGUAGCUACCUCGGUAGUGUUAUAGCUUAUUGGAAUACUGCU